rnacentral:misc_RNA from 1 species
CGUGCAGUCAGUCAGUCAGUCGCUCCUCGUCCACCGUAGCGCGCUCUCGAGCUACUGUACUCUCUUAUAUAUACCUCUCCGUGAACGCGGGCUUUUAUUCACGCCAAUUCUUAUAUAUACAAUAAUACGUGCACUCGUGUAUGUAUACCUCGUGUGUGCGCAAAUAGCAGCAGAUCUCUCGACUUUUCUCUUUGUAUACAUAAACAUAAACGCAACGGGAUUGGAUUCUACGGACGCAAAAAUUUCAUCAUUCUAACCCUCGUCGACCCCGUUGUGAGUAUAUUGUGCAUCGCACCAGCAGCGCCAGCCGAAAUAGAACAACAACAGAAAUUCACAUACAUCCGAGUGUGUGCGAGCAAAGAUACGAGCCACGUGAGACGCACGUUGCAAUAGGAUCAGUGAUAUAGAAGCAGCAAACCAAGAGACGGCGGCACGCAAAAGCCAAGACAUACAGUGAUCCAUCGUCGGCAUCGACAUUGGUGUUUUUAUUCAAAACUAGUGUUUUAUAACCGAGUGUUGUUGACGUUUUUACACGUCGUUGAAUAAAAAAAAAUAUUAUAAUAAGGCCCCAUCAGUGCAAAAAAGUGCAAAGUUUCGUUUCGUUGGUUUUGAAGAGAAGUAGGAGGAAGGUAUCUUCGAUUUUCGAGUGUUAAUAAGACGCAAUCGAGAAACGAUCUCGAUCUCGCCUGUCUCUUGGCGUCGACGAUUGACGUUUGAAGAGAAGAAAGAAGAAGAGGACAAGUGUUACAGUGCUGACAGGGGGUAAAGGCCAAACUGGGGAAAUAUGAGCAUUGCUGCCCUCCUGCAGGCUGCUGAGUAUAUCGAACGAAGGGACAGAGAAGCCGAACAUGGAUACGCUUCCACAAUGCCGAUACCGGACGACAUACGGUCGGUCACCAAGAGGCCAAAGACGAAAAAGUCACAAGGGAGCAGGACGACUCAUAACGAACUGGAGAAAAACAGGUACGUCAAAUUCACUGAAGAAGUAUACGCAAUCUUUUAAUUUUCUUUUUUUAAUAAAAGAUUCACGCUCCAGUACUCGUGACUCGCACGCAGCAGCGAGGGGGUGUAUCACUGAAACUACAAGUGUGGCAUAAGAAUAAUCGUAGUCGUCGCAUUAGCAUUGCGAGUCCACACCCGUUUGACGUGUUCUUAUAUCCGACCCCAUAUAGCGCGAGCGCCGUUUCUUUUUCAUAUUGGCACGUUUGAUAUAUAAAUUACACGUUGCAGAGCACUUGUUAGGUUUGAAGAAAAGGAAAAAUUGAAAUUUGCAAUGGAUUAUAUUUUUCUAUCGAUAUAUCUGUCUGUCGGAUUUAAUGCAUUCAUGCUGCUAUUCCGCGAACGAUAAGUAAAUUACACUGCCGGUGUUGAGUAAUUUCGUAAUUGCAUCCUCGUUGUGAUUUUUUUCUUCGGGAACUUUUGAGGCUCUCCAUCAUUGUUUGCUCAUUAAAAUCGUUUAAAUAAAUGCUGUAUAAGCGGACGCAUUAAAUUCCGACAAAAUAUUUUUAAGCGCAACGACUGUUUAAUGGAAAAUCUAUUUGAGCCAAGGCCUAAACAAACACAUUACCUCGCGUUAAUUCGGGACACAUGAAAAGAAAAAAAAGAAAAAACAAUAACAACAAUAACUGAGAAUGUUGACAUAACACGACAAUCGAUGCUAAUUUAUACUUGCAUACAUAUAUACCGCGUCGCGGAGCAUUUUUCACGUGAGUCAUAUAAUAUGCAAUUUUCCACGUCACGCGAUGAAUAAUAUAUAACCGAUUCAUCCGAGCAGUUUUUUCGAUCGGGUUUGUUUUUUCCUCGCGUAUAUAAAUUUCGAGUGCAUCUCGUUUUUUUUCUUGCUGCUGCCUCGGCCCAAGGAAAAUUCCCCAGUCGACUGCACUUUAUUCAAAAUUGAGACGUCGCUCUCUCUUUCUCGCUUGCACCAGGAUGAGAAAAAGGUUAGGCCGGGCCAACGCUACUAGCUGAACUUCCUUUAUUACUUUCUCUCUUUUCAGCAGACUUUAAGUGUGUUUUUAUAUAUAUACGUAUAUACAGGGCGCUAGAACCGUAGCUCCUUUCCCCAACGAAACUUUUAAUUGGCUUUGAAAUGUCAAAAAUGCUGUAAAUUAAGUCUUAAUUGUUUGGAGCGCUUAAGCGGGUGAAGCACACACACUAUCGCCAGGGCUUUUCCUUAUAUUUCUCAUUGAUUCGACUUUUUUCCGUCGAUAUAUAAGUUCGAGAUCUUUUUUACGUCGAGCACCGUAUCAUCAAUUUUAACGUCCGGCUUUUGUGUAGUCGGAUAAUUCACAGAGAGGGAUCGAAUCGGAGCUUUCGAAAGCGUAUACGCACUUUGAGCUCGUUUGCGCGCGCGUGAGCGACGCUGUAAUGAACAGCGCGAGAAACUGCGCACACGAAAUCCUGGGUAACGAGGGCGCGCAACCAAGUAUAUAUAUUCGUUCGACUGUGUAACUUUGGUUGGCCUCCAAAAAACGAAAAAAACAAAAACAAAAAAAAAGCCACACCAAGUUCAAAGAGUUGUGUGCUGUACUGUGCCCUUCGCGUGGAGAAAAGUUAACCCCUGGCACGCGUGUCCGGUCGGCGAUUUUUCUUUCUUUUUUACGUUUCUUAUGUGUAUUUACCAAAGCGAAGGCACGGAAACAAUUGACCAGCAUACGUGUGCGUGCGUGUGUACGUACAGACGACCAGAGGGGCCGAAGAAUUAGAGAAACUGGUUUCUCGAGUGUCGUCGAUCUCAAUGCAAUAAUGCUUAGAUAGAGAGGGAGAGAGUGAGUGAGAGCAUACCAAAGCGAAAGGGUGAAAAGAAGCGAAAGAGAGAGCGAGAGAGAGGAUGAAGAGAGAGGGGAGGUAGACGAAAAAGACAGAGAGCCUGAUUGAGUGGUUUAUACAUAUUGUAGCGUCGAACAAAUCGCGCAUGUACCGUCAAAAAGGAGGUAUAGGCGCGCAGAGAGAAAGAAAGAGAGAGAGUUACUUUGGUAUGAAUAAUUAUAAUACACUACGUUCGCGCUCGCCAUCGUGCCCUUAUGGUAUUUAUAAAUCACACUACUGGCUCAUAUUUCAGCGCACACCACGUCGAGCUGAGCUCGUAUAAUGUGUACACAUAAAGCUCGGCCGAGUCAUUACAUCGGCACAGGUCUUGCGAAGAAAAAAAAUAAAAGUGGCCUUGCAUUAUCAUCUUUUUUCUUGAAAAAAUCACCGUCCGCAGUACAGGUUUUACAUUGGCGUUCCUUUAUUUAUUUUAUUUUAUUUUAUUUUUUUUGCUCGUUGCUCGAGAUAAGGCAAUUUUCACUGCACCGCACAUACGUACACGGAGCUCCGAAGCUUUUGUGCUGGACAAUAUCGCAUUUCAUUUCUCCUCCUCAUGGCCGCUGAAAUAACUUCGGGUUCUCUAUCUCGUUCUCUGUCUCUCUCUCUCUCUCUUGUCGCUUGCCGCACGCGUUUCGUACAUCAGCAGUAGUAGUAGUAGUAGUAUAGCCGCGUUAUAUGCAACGAAGAAGAAGAGGUCAGGAAACUUGGGGCUCACUGCGAGAAAAGUGUUUGUCCGGGCGCUCGAGCUGCAACAAUGGGGGCUAGUUACUAGUGGCUACCACUGCUGCUGCUGCUCCGGACGUCGCGUGGAUAUACGUGUGCGCAUUCGUUGUCCCAAGCCAUGACGCCGAGAGAGUAUAAUACAGUAACCUCGAUUUUUGCUGCUGCUGCUGCUGCUUCACCGUGAAUUUUUUCAUAACUGCACAGGAAUCGUAGUAGAGUUAGCUCGGCCAAUUUUUAUUUUUUACACACACAAACUAUAUACGUAAUAAAUAAAUUGCACGAAAUUGCCUUCGAAAGCUGUAUAAUAUCGGCCUAAGAAAAGUGCGGAGAAAAUGUUGUUCAGGGAAAAAGUAUAUGACCGAGUGCACGAGGUAUGCUUUAGUAUAAUUACACUUGCGCCGGCACGUAUGUAUGUACGUAAACUCGCUUCCGUUUAAUUCUGCAACGGCUCACGACGUAAAAUCAGUGAAGUAGGGGCUCCGCCUAUACCAGCUAGUAUACCAUUGUUGCACUCGAC